rnacentral:rRNA from 1 species
CCCGCACAAGCGGUGAGCAUGUGGUUUAAUUCGAAGCAACGCGAAGAACCUUACCAGGUCUUGACAUCCCUGACAACCCGAGAGAUCGGCGUUCCCCUUCGGGGGACAGGGUGACAGGUGGUGCAUGGUUGUCGUCAGCUCGUGUCGUGAGAUGUUGGGUUAAGUCCCGCAACGAGCGCAACCCUCGACCUUAGUUGCCAGCAUUCAGUUGGGCACUCUAAGGUGACUGCCGGUCUUAAGCCGGAGGAAGGUGGGGAUGAUGUCAAGUCAGCAUGGCCUUUAUAUCCUGGGCUACACACACGCUACAAUGGCCAACACAAUAGGUUGCUAAGCCGCGAGGUGGCGCCAAUCCAUAAAGUUGGUCUCAGUUCAGAUUGUAGGCUGCAACCCGCCUGCAUGAAGAUGGAGUUGCUAGUAACCGCAGGUCAGCUAUACUGCGGUGAAUACGUUCCCGGGGCUU